CAAUAGUUCAGAGAUAUGGUCCACUUGUAAAGUAGCAAAUUAUCCGUUCUCCAGUAAUCCUUUAUGGCAUGCAGCAAUCCUUGCAUUGGCUCAAAGGCUGGAACAGCUUGUCUGAGCUUGUGGAGAGGUAAGUCAGGUGGAAGUAGCUCCCAGUAGCUGAGCCUGUGGAGUCCGCAGAGGCAGCUCACACACAAUCACCAAGCCCCCCCUCUCUGGCCCAGUCUCCCUAAAUGCCAUCAGAGCUGUGUCAGAGGGGGGCGGGGUCCGGCUCCUCACAGCUGAGUGCCGAACCCAAGAGUGUUACUCCAUGACAGGAACCCCCGAAAGAAGACCGGCUGUUGCCCUCGUUUCUCUGGAACUGUUUUGGGCCAUAAUCUUGAACUUUACCCAAAUGGCGAUUUCGUUCUAACGAACGGAUCUGAGCGCUAUUUGGACAACUUCGGCACUCAGAUCUGGGUUAUAAGACUUGUGGGGUUUCUGUGAAAUAUGAAUAUUUUUGGGGGGUGUUUUAUGUUUGUUCCAUGUAGUUUCCUGUAACUGAGAUAAUUCAGUUACUCAGUUGUGACUCAAUUAUCUUGCCAGACACAGG